rnacentral:rRNA from 1 species
CCUACGGGUGGCAGCAGUGAGGAAUAUUGGUCAAUGGGCGCGAGCCUGAACCAGCCAAGUCGCGUGCGGGAUGACGGCCCUAUGGGUUGUAAACCUCUUUUGUAUGGGGGGAAUACCCGUUACGUGUAGAGUGAUGACAGUACCCUACGAAUAAGCAUCGGCUAACUCCGUGCCAGCAGCCGCGGUAAUACGGAGGAUGCGAGCGUUAUCCGGAUUUAUUGGGUUUAAAGGGUGCGUAGGCGGCAGUAUAAGUUAGUGGUAAAAUAUUGGGGCUUAACCCCACUACGCCAUUAAUACUGUAGAGCUAGAGAACAGACGAGGUAGGCGGAAUGAGUGGAGUAGCGGUGAAAUGCAUAGAUAUAACAUAGAACACCGAUAGCGAAGGCAGCUUACCAGACUGCGACUGACGCUGAUGCACGAGAGCAUGGGGAGCGAACAGGAUUAGAUACCCCAGUAGUC